AUACGUAGGGGGCGAGCGUUAUCCGGAAUUAUUGGGCGUAAAGGGCGCGUAGGCGGAUAUUUAAGUCAGGUGUGAAAAGCCAGGGCUCAACCCUGGAACUGCAUCUGAAACUGGGUAUCUUGAGGACAGGAGAGGAAAGUGGAAUUCCUAGUGUAGCGGUGAAAUGCGUAGAUAUUAGGAGGAACACCAGUGGCGAAGGCGACUUUCUGGACUGUAACUGACGCUGAGGCGCGAAAGCGUGGGGAGCAAACAGGAUUAGAUACCCUGGUAGUCCACGCCGUAAACGAUGAGUGCUAGGUGUAGGGGGUAUCGACCCCUCCUGUGCCGCAGUUAACACAAUAAGCACUCCGCCUGGGGAGUACGGCCGCAAGGUUGAA
rnacentral:rRNA from 1 species